AAACGAAACAAAAGAAGGUAAAUAAAAAAAAAGAAGAGAAAAGAGAGAGAGAGAGAGAGAGAGAGAGAAUAAAUAAAAUAAAUAAAAAACAAAAUGUUCCGAUUGGAAAACGAAUCGUAGUCUCUUUGAAUAGGCUAACACAGAUCCUAAUCGCGUUGACGACAAAAGGAAUAGUCUAUUAUGAAUCGAUGCACGAGCGACUUUCCCACUUCCGUGUUACACGCGCAACAGGUCCUUGCAUCUCUCCAACACACGCUUGCUUCGGCGCGCACGAGUGCGCUAGCUGCUACUAGGUAGAAGAGGCGAAGAGCGCGACUACUAUUGUUACGUGCUUUGUCGUGCAAAUCGAUUUCCUAUCUGCUCAUACCGCGUUUUACUUGACGAUUGAAAACUUUGAAAAGAUAGGAAUAAAAAAAACGAAAACAUACACACACAUACACGCACACAAAACAAAAAAAAAUGAAUAGAAGGAAAAAAAAAAGAGGAAGAAGAAUAAGAAAAAGAGAAAUUAGAGAACGGCAUUACAUUAAAUCCGAUCACGAUUUAAAGAAAAAUUAAGAACUUUAAAUGAUUGGAAUACAUAUAUGGUAACGGGAAAAGAAUCCACGAAAGAGUACGAGAAAUUUCUAUCCAAUUCCUUUCCGGUUCUCCGAUCUCGUUGCCGGUUUCGACGCUUGGCUAUUUCUCGGAGACUGUGAUGCGUUGGCUGCGUGGGCGCGUUUAUUUGCAGACGCGACUCGAGCAAGGCGAAUUCCACGCUGGAUUACCCUGCCGAUCGGUCGUUCAAGCGGAUGGCGCUUGAAUGGCCCACGCCAUAUUCCGAGAGUACUAGAGAAGAGAAGAGAAGAAAAAAAAAAAAGAAAAAAAAAAGAAAGAAAUAGAAAAAAAAAGAAAAGAAGAAAGAACAAAGAAAUAAAUAAAGUAAACAAGUAAGAAAGAUGGAUAGAUCGAUGGUAGCCUAGACGAAAAUAUAGACAAAUACGGAGAGCAUAAAUUUUCUCGCGAUAAUGUUGAUGGUGGUGAUGGUGGUGGUGGUGGUGGUAGUGGUAGUAGUGGUGGUGGUGGUGGUGAUGAUGGCGAAAUCUAAAAUAAACGUUUCGUCGUCGAUCCGAAACGAGCUGGAUAAAAAUAAACUAAGCGUCCUUUAUAGUUGGAAGCCUAGAGCACGGAAUAUCAACGAUUCUACGAAUAGAGUCUUUACUUAUCUUUAUGUGUGUAUACAUAUGCGUGCGUGCGUGAGUGUGGGUGACGUGUAGGUUCGAGCCUUGUUGGAUUGGUUGCUCACCGAUAUAAAGGGGAGACGUGUCGUAGGCGUUGCAGGGUCCGGCAUGUCGCGUCUCGAGAACGAAGCCGGUGACGCAGGCGUCCUUGACGAUGUGACACCAGCUGGGAUAGGUGAUGUUGUUGGUCGCGCACAGCAUGGUCGUCGAUGGAUCUCGAUCCCGAUCACGAUCGCGGUGCGUCCGGUUCCGGACGCGCUCCCGCUUCCGGGGGCAACGGUCGACAUUGAACGCCACCUCCGAGAACUCUCCAAAAGAAAAGACUUCCACUGUCCAAAUCUUCAUCCGAGUAAGCCGUUGCUGCAGCCGCAUUCGACGCGCAACAAUCUUCUCUCGUGACACCUUGAGACAAUAAUUCCUUGCAGCGGCCAUUGCUGAUCGAUGACCAACAGAUACCACCUGUAAUAAAUCAACGACCGUCAUGAUAUCGAAAGAGAAGAUUUUUAAUCGACUUCGAUAACCAGUGUUAAUAUCGUAACCUCGAAAGAUCUCGAUGACUUUUUCCAUUUUAAAGUCAGACAUUAAGUUAAUCGAUCUUGAGAAUGUGUUUCGAUAGCUUGCAAUCCAACAUUGCGGUUAGACGAUCUAUCUAACCAUAUACGAAGUGUACUAUUGCAUAUGUAUGUGUUAAGCCACGAAU